rnacentral:rRNA from 1 species
AACGAACGCUGGCGGCAGGCUUAACACAUGCAAGUCGAACGAGCUGGGACCUUCGGGUCCCGAUGCUAGUGGCGCACGGGUGAGUAACACGUGGGAACGUACCCUUUAGUACGGAAUAACCCAGGGAAACUCGGGCUAAUACCGUAUGACUCCUUCGGGAGAAAGAUUUAUCGCUAAAGGAACGGCCCGCGUGUGAUUAGGUAGUUGGUGAGGUAACGGCUCACCAAGCCGACGUUAAGUAGCUGGUCUGAGAGGAUGAUCAGCCACACUGGGACUGAGACACGGCCCAGACUCCUACGGGAGGCAGCAGUGGGGAAUAUUGGACAAUGGGGGCAACCCUGAUCCAGCCAUGCCGCGUGAGUGAAGAAGGCCUUCGGGUUGUAAAGCUCUUUCGACGGGGACGAUGAUGACGGUACCCGUAUAAGAAGCCCCGGCAAACUUCGUGCCAGCCGCCGCAGUAAUAC